AUGAACGCUAGCUACAGGCUUAACACAUGCAAGUCGAGGGGCAUCAGUUUGGUUUGCUUGCAAACCAAAGCUGGCGACCGGCGCACGGGUGAGUAACACGUAUCCAACCUGCCUCAUACUCGGGGAUAGCCUUUCGAAAGAAAGAUUAAUAUCCGAUAGCAUAUAUUUCCCGCAUGGGUUUUAUAUUAAAGAAAUUCGGUAUGAGAUGGGGAUGCGUUCCAUUAGUUUGUUGGCGGGGUAACGGCCCACCAAGACUACGAUGGAUAGGGGUUCUGAGAGGAAGGUCCCCCACAUUGGAACUGAGACACGGUCCAAACUCCUACGGGAGGCAGCAGUGAGGAAUAUUGGUCAAUGGACGCGAGUCUGAACCAGCCAAGUAGCGUGAAGGAUGACUGCCCUAUGGGUUGUAAACUUCUUUUAUAUGGGAAUAAAGUGGUCCACGUGUGGAUUUUUGUAUGUACCAUAUGAAUAAGGAUCGGCUAACUCCGUGCCAGCAGCCGCGGUAAUACGGAGGAUCCGAGCGUUAUCCGGAUUUAUUGGGUUUAAAGGGAGCGUAGGCGGAUUGUUAAGUCAGUUGUGAAAGUUUGCGGCUCAACCGUAAAAUUGCAGUUGAUACUGGCAGUCUUGAGUGCAGUAGAGGUGGGCGGAAUUCGUGGUGUAGCGGUGAAAUGCUUAGAUAUCACGAAGAACUCCGAUUGCGAAGGCAGCUCACUGGAGUGUAACUGACGCUGAUGCUCGAAAGUGUGGGUAUCAAACAGGAUUAGAUACCCUGGUAGUCCACACAGUAAACGAUGAAUACUCGCUGUUUGCGAUAUACAGUAAGCGGCCAAGCGAAAGCAUUAAGUAUUCCACCUGGGGAGUACGCCGGCAACGGUGAAACUCAAAGGAAUUGACGGGGGCCCGCACAAGCAGUGGAGUAUGUGGUUUAAUUCGAAGCAACGCGAAGAACCUUACCAGGUCUUGACAUCCGAUGCAUAGCACAGAGAUGUGUGAAAUCCUUCGGGACAUCGAGACAGGUGGUGCAUGGUUGUCGUCAGCUCGUGCCGUGAGGUGUCGGCUUAAGUGCCAUAACGAGCGCAACCCUUAUCUUCAGUUACUAACAGGUUAUGCUGAGGACUCUGGAGAGACUGCCGUCGUAAGAUGUGAGGAAGGUGGGGAUGACGUCAAAUCAGCACGGCCCUUACGUCCGGGGCUACACACGUGUUACAAUGGGGGGUACAGAAGGCCGCUACCUGGUGACAGGAUGCCAAUCCCAAAAACCUCUCUCAGUUCGGAUCGAAGUCUGCAACCCGACUUCGUGAAGCUGGAUUCGCUAGUAAUCGCGCAUCAGCCAUGGCGCGGUGAAUACGUUCCCGGGCCUUGUACACACCGCCCGUCAAGCCAUGAAAGCCGGGGGUACCUGAAGUACGUAACCGCAAGGAGCGUCCUAGGGUAAAACUGGUAAUUGGGGCU
rnacentral:rRNA from 1 species